rnacentral:misc_RNA from 1 species
UACUAGUACAUUGUACGACUAAUAUCCUGACUUAUUAGCUUUGUGAAGGUACAAAUGAACUUCCUCAACAAUAAAUAAAACAAUCAUACAUGAAAAAUCCUCUUGAGAAAUACACAAUUAUUUGUUCAAUGACAACUCCUAAAACAUAAAAAAGCAAAAGGCAACGAAACAGCACACUCCACCGCCCAACUUUGUAUAGCAUUUGAUUAUAUCUUCUGUUUGCCUUUUUGAACUCUCUCUAAUUCUGCUUCAGCAUCUUUCAACAGUAAUUUCAAUGCAGCAACUCUAUUCUGCAACUCCUCCACCGAGCCUCGAGCAAGAGAGGGCUGGUAUGGCGUUACAAAAUGAUGUGAAAAUUCUUUCAGGGCUUCAACGCCACAAACCUCUUGUGGCAGCAAAGGCAAUUUCGUAAUGUUAAAGUCAUCAUACAACAUGUAG